UUUUGACGNUUNGGNUCCGAUUUAGCCUGCUAGUCGCACGAGUUCAGACUCGUGGCGGAAAGCUCAGUGACACGUGGCCAAACUACCCUAUGGACGGAACUAACCUCGGGAAACUGAGGCUAAUGUCCGAUACAGCUCUCACGCUGGAACGCGGAGAGCUGGAAACGCCCCGGCGCCAUAGGAUGUGGCUGCGGCCGAUUAGGUAGACGGUGGGGUAACGGCCCACCGUGCCUAUAAUCGGUAUGGGUCAUGAGAGUGAGAACCCAGAGACGGUAUCUGAGACAAGAUACCGGGCCCUACGGGGCGCAGCAGGCGCGAAACCUUUACACUGCACGACAGUGCGAUAAGGGGACUCCGAGUGCGAGGGCAUACAGUCCUCGCUUUUCUGUACCGUAGGGUGGUACAGGAACAAGUGCUGGGCAAGACCGGUGCCAGCCGCCGCGGUAAUACCGGCAGCACGAGUGAUGGCCGAUAUUAUUGGGCCUAAAGCGUCCGUAGCUGGCCGGACAAGUCCGUUGGGAAAUCCACCCGCUUAACGGGUGGGCGUUCAGCGGAAACUGUCCGGCUUGGAGCCGGAAGACCUUGAGGGGUACGUUCCGGGGGUAGGAAUGAAAAUCCUGUAAUUCU
rnacentral:rRNA from 1 species